UACUUCACACUCAAGAGUUGGAAGCUUCCAAGAGAUAUAAGGUUGGAGAGAGUUUAGCUAUCUUGUGGGAGAUGUGUGUUGGAAGGGUGUCAUCUCUCGUCAGCUCUGACUAUGUCUGGGGUCUCCAAGGGUAGGAGCAGUAUCUGUGUCACCAGCCAUCCAUCUCUCAAGGGUCCAGCCUGUCUGUAUCGCUCACAGUAAGUGAUGCCCAUUUUUAUCCACAUGUCUCUGCCUCUUCAGUCUCUUUUUGCUUUGAUGACUCUGUCCCUGCCUUUUCUAUGCUGUCUCUUUUGUCUCCCCUUGCUCUUAUUUCCCUCUUUCCUCUGUCUCUCUGUCUGUCCCUUAUCCUGUCUCCUUCCCACCUCAUCCCCGCCUGACAUAUACUGGCACCUGCCCCUGACCAGCUUCCCUUUGUCUUGGUCCUUCUCCAGUUGCCUGGUAACCGCCUUCCCCACCAGCCCCACAGAAACCAUAGCAACGGGCAGCCCGGAGAUGCGGCCAUUCAUCUUGCUUUUGUCCUGUGCGUUUCCGCCACUGCAGGCCACGCACGUGGACGCUCCAAUUACAGGAUCUCCAGUCCCUGGUCUAGGAUCUACCCUAAACUGAGAUGCAUCUACAAAGACUCUCUGUCCAAGUAAGGUCACAUUUUAAAGUCUCAGGAAGACAAGAAACUAGAGAGGAGAGAACACAAGCCAGUUUGCUCUAGACUGGCUUCACCCAGAAUGAUACUGGGAAGAUGGGUGCCUUUGUUUCCAUUCCAAAGUCAAAGAAAAUGAAGCAAGAGAUGCUAGGUGAUGGACUUCAACUCCCCAGGGAGAGUCCAGCAUCUCCAAACCUGCAUCCCACCCCUCCUCAAAUGAAUCAUGGCUCCUGAGUGAAGCCUGCAGCCCAGGGCAUGCCCUUGGCACUCUCAUGCUUAAAACUCCUCCCUGGUAUACCCCCCAACCCCAUUCAGACCUCCCUCAUCCUUUAUGUUCCUGCCAGCUAGAUGGCUCCUCUUUGCCCCAACAGGGCUGUGCUGGGCUCCUCCUCUGGUCUCUAUGCAUACCCCAAUAUUUCACUAUUAUUUCCUAUCUCCUUCCCCUGAUCUGCACGCUCCCAGAGGGCCAACUCCAAGGCAGACCCAUUGUCACAUGAUCACAGCUUAGCACACUAAUUGUAGGGGCAAGAAGUCCAUGAUAAGAAUUACAAUUAAAUCACAGAUAUGACAGCACUGCGUUGGACAAGCACAACUGAAACUUUUCUUACCAGUUUUCUAGUCAUCCUUUGCCUGAGAUCCUGAUCCCACCCAAAUCUGGGCCCAUAAAGCCCUAAUGUUUGUUUAGCCCAAAGGGCCAUGUCAUUUCAAAGGUUCAAGACUAGGAAACUGGCAAACCCCCUAUGUGAUAAACAGAAACCAGGAGAUUUGGUCAUGCGAUCCAAUCUUUAUCAAAUAUUAAUGUGUGCAGGAGUCACAGCGCGUGGGCACUUGCUUGUUGGAAACACACACCCUCAUUCAGCUGUGGCUGUGGCAGUUUUAGGCAAGUCUGUGGGGCAGAGUGGGGGGGGGAUGCUGCAGCAGACCCUGGGCACUCUUCUACAUCAAGGUUGUAGCUGAUCUGAGUGAGAGGUCAGAGCUAAUAAAUUUGGUUUAGAAAUGCU